CGGGACACGUGGUAUCCUGUCUGAAUAUGGGGGGACCAUCCUCCAAGGCUAAAUACUCCUGACUGACCGAUAGUGAACCAGUACCGUGAGGGAAAGGCGAAAAGAACCCCGGCGAGGGGAGUGAAAAAGAACCUGAAACCGUGUACGUACAAGCAGUGGGAGCACGCUUAGGCGUGUGACUGCGUACCUUUUGUAUAAUGGGUCAGCGACUUAUAUUCUGUAGCAAGGUUAACCGAAUAGGGGAGCCGAAGGGAAACCGAGUCUUAACUGGGCGUUAAGUUGCAGGGUAUAGACCCGAAACCCGGUGAUCUAGCCAUGGGCAGGUUGAAGGUUGGGUAACACUAACUGGAGGACCGAACCGACUAAUGUUGAAAAAUUAGCGGAUGACUUGUGGCUGGGGGUGAAAGGCCAAUCAAACCGGGAGAUAGCUGGUUCUCCCCGAAAGCUAUUUAGGUAGCGCCUCGUGAAUUCAUCUCCGGGGGUAGAGCACUGUUUCGGCAAGGGGGUCAUCCCGACUUACCAACCCGAUGCAAACUGCGAAUACCGGAGAAUGUUAUCACGGGAGACACACGGCGGGUGCUAACGUCCGUCGUGAAGAGGGAAACAACCCAGACCGCCAGCUAAGGUCCCAAAGUCAUGGUUAAGUGGGAAACGAUGUGGGAAGGCCCAGACAGCCAGGAUGUUGGCUUAGAAGCAGCCAUCAUUUAAAGAAAGCGUAAUAGCUCACUGGUCGAGUCGGCCUGCGCGGAAGAUGUAACGGGGCUAAACCAUGCACCGAAGCUGCGGCAGCGACGCUUAUGCGUUGUUGGGUAGGGGAGCGUUCUGUAAGCCUGUGAAGGUGUACUGUGAGGUAUGCUGGAGGUAUCAGAAGUGCGAAUGCUGACAUAAGUAACGAUAAAGCGGGUGAAAAGCCCGCUCGCCGGAAGACCAAGGGUUCCUGUCCAACGUUAAUCGGGGCAGGGUGAGUCGACCCCUAAGGCGAGGCCGAAAGGCGUAGUCGAUGGGAAACAGGUUAAUAUUCCUGUACUUGGUGUUACUGCGAAGGGGGGACGGAGAAGGCUAUGUUGGCCGGGCGACGGUUGUCCCGGUUUAAGCGUGUAGGCUGGUUUUCCAGGCAAAUCCGGAAAAUCAAGGCUGAGGCGUGAUGACGAGGCACUACGGUGCUGAA
rnacentral:rRNA from 1 species